rnacentral:rRNA from 1 species
UACAGAGGUCUCAAGCGUUGUUCGGAAUCACUGGGCGUAAAGCGUGCGUAGGCUGUUUCGUAAGUCGUGUGUGAAAGGCGCGGGCUCAACCCGCGGACGGCACAUGAUACUGCGAGACUAGAGUAAUGGAGGGGGAACCGGAAUUCUCGGUGUAGCAGUGAAAUGCGUAGAUAUCGAGAGGAACACUCGUGGCGAAGGCGGGUUCCUGGACAUUAACUGACGCUGAGGCGCGAAGGCCAGGGGAGCGAAAGGG